ACAAAUCCUGAAACUUCGCGGUAAGAACUGGCAUCUGCUUUCGGCAGUUUAUACUCUAUUCAAUUUCUAAACGACCCAGGGAUGCAAACUCGUAAGGUAUAGUGCAGCAGCGAUAAAAGUCGGUUGUCGACCGAUGGACCAGGUGGAAAGACGUUCAUCCUCAAUCUUAUCUGCUAGAGAAGGAUGCGGAGGAGGAGGAGGAUUGCCACCGAGCCCACGUGGUCAUCCUGGUCUCCGUCCUGGGCCACUUCCACCGAUACUAAACGCUCGUUCGCUCCCUCGCGAGUGCUCUGGCGCAUAGUUAGGCAGGCACGCGCGCAUCUCUCUCUCCCUCUCCCCCUCUCUUUGGCUCUCUCUUGCUCUCUCUCCCUCUCUCCCCCUCCCCCGCGAGCUAGCGAGCGAGCGAACCGGGGCUCCCUAUACGUGUACGCACGCGAAGACUUCUUCAUCCGCGUUCGUUCAUUCAGAGUUCACAGUCAGUCAGUCACCAGCACACCUCCACCGAUCAGCUGAUCCGGACGACGACGGCAGACUGCGCGUCGCCAACCCCUCCGCCCUCCUUCCCUUCGUCUAUAACCGACCCCUCCUCCUCCUCCACCUCCUACACCCUGUCGUCCACCUCCACCACCUCCUCGUGCUACUGCUGCUGCUGCUGCUGCUACUAUUGCUACUGGUGGUGGUGCUGCUGGUCUGUUGCCCCCUCGCCCUCCCAGUGGACGAUCAGCUGACUGGGAACUGUCAGUCGUGUGCGGUGCGCUGCCAUGCCGUGGGCCUUCGAGAACUCACGUGACCGUGGAGCUCUCUCCACAAUCCGAGCCGCUUUCUGAUCCGCCGGGCCGUCGCGGCGCCUCGGCGAGGUAUCUCGCCGACUCCGCGAUUUCGGGCCGCCCCGUCAGGCUUUUCCCUCGUCUUCCAGCCGGUUGAACAUCCGCCGGAGCGCAGGCAGCCUCCCUCGUGCUCUUCUCUUUGGGACACUUUGUCACCGACGAUGACUAACUUGGCUAGCUAGCAACGGUCUAAUUCUAAUGGAACCGGCGUAAACACCGCGAGGAUAACCUCGGAACACCGAAGAAUCUGCUGACCGCAAAGCGGGACCAUCAAUUUUGUUGCGACCUGUACACGCGGAAUUACUAUUCCGCCAUCGAAAUCGCUCAUACAUCGCAUAAUUAGAUGGUGCGAGGUCAGAGGUAGGCAGGAAAUAGGUUACAUGAUCUGGUCGUCGAGAGAAAAAAAGGGGCAACGAAUUGUUUCCUGAAUAUUCGAGACACCGAGUUCUCGAAGGAAGAUACCUGGCAGCGUUUUUUAAUGUCCGCGAGGGUUGCUAAUUAGCGUGGCUCA